AGCUCCGGUUCUGACUCUCAUAAGCUCAGUGCCAGUAGUCACAGCAUGCCUGAGCUGGUGAUGAUCCGAGUCUAAGGAGCCCCAGAGGAUGAAGAUGCAUAAGGCCGACUCGUCCAGGGAUUUCAUCUUCCGCUUUUGGCCUUUGGAGAAGACGGUGAACAGGAGGUCGUCCUCCGGGCGGACCCCGAGGGUCCGGGCGAGCACAGCCCCGGCUUUGGACAGCCAGGCACAGAUGGGAACGUCCACCACUGAUGGCUUAUACACAAUCAACCAGUUCAAACAACGCUUCCUUGGGGACUGUCCAUUACAGCUCUGGCCCCCUGGAUCUGCACCUACUGCAAGGGAAGUUUCUCCUCUGCCCCACCCUGCCACACCCCAAUCCCUGCAACAGGCCAAAUUAACAGCCCAAAUCCCAAAUCCCUUCACUGCGUGUCAGCAACCCGGUCCUCUGGGUCCACUGCCCAGCUCUGAGCCUCGAUGUCAUUUUAAUGAGGCAGAUCUUGGCUGCCGCCCAUAGUGAGGCCUCCUCUGAGAGGUUUUCAUUAAAGGCAGAGAACAAAUGCUUUAAGAAAUGGUCAAGUAAAUAAAUAAAUAAACAACUCCCUGUGGAACAAUAUAGUUUUCCAUCCUAAUGGUCUCAUUCAUUUCUAUUCAAGAUGCCUUUCGGCGUGCAUUUCCAGAAAAUGGUUUUUCAUAUUUCUUCCAGUUCAGGAGAAAUCUGGGAAGGAAUGGCCUAUAUCUUACUCAGGGACAUUGCACCUGUGUGGAAUUUCUUUCAUUCUCCCCCCAGUCCCCGCCCAAAUAACUCAGAAACAAGCUGAUGGGAAGAGGUAGAUGACUGAGCCAAAGAACCA